UGGGGAAUAUUGGACAAUGGGGGGAACCCUGAUCCAGCCAUGCCGCGUGUGUGAAGAAGGCCUUAUGGUUGUAAAGCACUUUAAGCGAGGAGGAGGGUACUGGUAUUAAUACUACCAGGUACUGGACGUUACUCGCAGAAUAAGCACCGGCUAACUCUGUGCCAGCAGCCGCGGUAAUACAGAGGGUGCGAGCGUUAAUCGGAUUUACUGGGCGUAAAGCGUGCGUAGGCGGCUAAUUGAGUCGGAUGUGAAAUCCCCGAGCUUAACUUGGGAAUUGCAUCCAAAACUGGCGAGCUAGAGUAGGGCAGAGGGUGGUGGAAUUUCCUGUGUAGCGGUGAAAUGCGUAGAUAUAGGAAGGAACACCAGUGGCGAAGGCGACCACCUGGGCUCAUACUGACACUGAGGUGCGAAAGCGUGGGGAGCAAACAGG
rnacentral:rRNA from 1 species